rnacentral:rRNA from 1 species
UACGUAGGUGGCAAGCGUUGUCCGGAUUUACUGGGCGUAAAGAGCGCGCAGGCGGUCGUUCAAGUCGCGUGUGAAAGCCCCCGGCUCAACUGGGGAGGGUCACGCGAUACUGAUCGACUGGAAGGCAGGAGAGGGUAGUGGAAUUCCCGGUGUAGUGGUGAAAUGCGUAGAUAUCGGGAGGAACACCAGUGGCGAAGGCGACUACCUGGCCUGUUCUUGACGCUGAGGCGCGACAGCGUGGGGAGCAAACAGG